CUUAUUGGGCUCCUGUCUGCAGGAUUUACGCGCACGUUGGAACCGAAGAGAGCUCUGUUGUUGCAAUGUUCAGCCCACAAGAGCUUACUGGUGAAGGAAUGGGACAAGACCCAUCUUUAUGCAAAGCCAGCGUUACAGUAAUGUUCCAGGUAUUCCUGAUGACAGUCUGCCUCUAUCUUACAGUACUACUAACCAAUAACCUGCUUGGCUCAAAGGGCCAGCACCUUCUCUCUAAAGCCCAAGAGGAGUUUGAGGAAAACUAGGUGUCUGUGUUCACUCCAGGCUGAAGUUACAGGUCUGAGCAAAUAAGGUGUAUAAAAAAUGGAAUCUGUCUUGGAGGACAUCAGAAGGUGAAUUUUCCAAGUUCUUGGACAACCUAGCUGUUGAAAAGCUUUCUGGGUUUGGGGGGUAUUUCAGAUGUACCUUAAAGUGUUAGCAGACACAGAUUAAGACACUGGGAGCCAAUGAAACAGCAGUUGAGGGUUUGCUGUGUAUCACAUUUCUGUAUUUUAUCACCCCCUUCCUGCAACAUUAUUUAUCUGGAAUCUACCUGCCCUUUUGUUUUUUAGAUACAAGGGCUUGGUUUUGUUACCCAGGCUGGUUUCAAGGCCAUAGCUUUAAGAGAUCCUCUCACCACAGAUUUCCAAAGUGCUGGGAUUGCAGGUGUGAUUCAUGGCACCCAGACUUUGCUGCCUUUCUUACAUGAUCCAGGCCCAGAACCCAAACUCAGGCACUGUAUAGAUGACCACUUUCG
rnacentral:lncRNA from 10 species